GGCUGCAGGAUCUAAGCCGAGAGGUUCAAACUUCUGCUUCCAGAGGGCCAUCCCUUUAAGCUCGCUCAGAUGAUACAGCAAAGCCUCAGAGCCACUGUGACUUAUAACAAGUUUCUGGAUGCCGGAGUAGGACGAAUCAGUGGAUUGACCCAACAUCUUCAAUCCCUAAAAAGAAACAAAAAAAAUACUGUAAAAACAUACAAUAAGGCUGGUAUAACUGUUUCAGAGAACCUGUUCAGAUAAAUUCACCUUGACUCUGAUGGUCAUAUGAUGCCCCCUGUUGGAGAUUUAAGAAUUGCGUCACCUUGCAUGGCCCCAUAGCAGCAGCUCCAAAAACUCAUCCUGUACCUGAGUGCUUGUGUUUUUUUCCUGUGUAAUAACAUCAUCAUUUACCAAGAAACAAAUCACAGAUUGUAUACUAGAACCAUACUGCCCUACUGAAUAUUAUGGUUGUGACUAGGGUGUGAUGACAUCUAACCUGGACAAACUUAGUAAGUCGAAGGUCCAUCUGUGUAAGAAUGUCUUCCCAUGCUUCACACAUACAGGUCUCCAGGCGAGUGAUGUGAUCUCUUUUCCUGUGUUCUCAUUGGGUGGUAAACUCCACACACGCUGGAAGUUGGCAAGGCGAUGCAGAAGCAGCUGUAAUGACAGAUAUGUGUAAUGAAGUUACACAUUUGAAACUCUAUUUUAUGGUAACUAAAGACUGUUAACUGAUUCAAACUGUAUAUGUGAACAGCCCUGUGAGAAGUUAUAUUAAUGUGAUUGUGUAUAAACAACACUAUACAGUAGCAAAAAAAAAAAGAUGUAUGUUA